ACAAUGGUGUUUUUCAACACUACCAAAUAAAUUCUUGAAAAAAUGA
rfam:Picea glauca, whole genome shotgun sequence.